GAUGAACGCUGGCGGCGUGCCUAACACAUGCAAGUCGAGCGAUUUAAUUCGGUAAAGAGCGGCGGACGGGUGAGUAACGCGUGGGUAACCUGCCCUGUACACACGGAUAACAUACCGAAAGGUAUGCUAAUACGAGAUAAUAUGCUUUUAUCGCAUGGUAGAAGUAUCAAAGCUCUUUCGGUACAGGAUGGACCCGCGUAUGAUUAGCUGGUUGGUAAGGUAACGGCUUACCAAGGCGACGAUCAGUAGCCGACCUGAGAGGGUGAUCGGCCACAUUGGAACUGAGACACGGUCCAAACUCCUACGGGAGGCAGCAGUGGGGAAUAUUGCACAAUGGGCGAAAGCCUGAUGCAGCAACGCCGCGUGAGCGAUGAAGGCCUUCGGGUCGUAAAGCUCUGUCCUCAAGGAAGAUAAUGACGGUACUUGAGGAGGAAGCCCCGGCUAACUACGUGCCAGCCGCCGCAGUAA
rnacentral:rRNA from 1 species